rnacentral:rRNA from 1 species
CCUACGGGAGGCAGCAGUGAGGAAUAUUGGUCAAUGGGCGCGAGCCUGAACCAGCCAAGUAGCGUGAAGGAUGACUGCCCUACGGGUUGUAACCUUCUUUUAUAAAGGAAUAAAGUGAGGCACGUGUGCCUUUUUGUAUGUACUUUAUGAAUAAGGAUCGGCUAACUCCGUGCCAGCAGCCGCGGUAAUACGGGGUAGCCGAGCGUUAUCCGGAUUUAUUGGGUUUAAAGGGAGCGUAGAUGGGUUGUUAAGUCAGUUGUGAAAGUUUGGGGCUCAACCGUAAAAUUGCAAUUGAUACUGGCAGGCUUGAGGCCAGUUGAGGUAGGCGGAAUGCGUGGUGUAGCGGUGAAAUGCUUAGAUAUCACGAAGAACUCCGAUUGCGAAGGCAGCUUACUAAACUGCCACUGACAUUGAUGCUCGAAAGUGUGGGUAUCAAACAGGAUUAGAUACCCUAGUAGUC